UACAGAGGGUGCAAGCGUUGUCCGGAAUUAUUGGGCGUAAAGAGCUCGUAGGCGGUGUGUCGCGUCGGCCGUGAAAACCUGGGGCUCAACUCUGGGCGUGCGGUCGAUACGGGCAUCACUUGAGUUCGGCAGGGGAGACUGGAAUCCUGGUGUAGCGGUGAAAUGCGCAGAUAUCAGGAGGAACACCGGUGGCGAAGGCGGCUCUCUGGAACGCAACUGACGCUGAGACGCGAAAGCGUGGGGAGCAAACAGG
rnacentral:rRNA from 1 species